rnacentral:lncRNA from 1 species
CAUCAAAAGUUUGUGACCAUCCCUACUUGUUAUCAAACAAAAUAGUUAGUAGUGCUUCUUCCAUUUCCUAACAGAAAAGAGAGUUUUCUUCGAUUUUCAGGUGAUGCAGCUCCAGAGCAUUUGCUGUUACAUGACAACUCUAUCAAGUAAGUUAAUUGUAACAUGCAGUUCAUACAUAAAGUGUAACAAGAAGAAAAGAAAGAAGUGCAUUACUUGGCUUUGUCUUGUUAUUACUGUUGAUGUUUACAACUUCUAUCGGCACAGAUCGAUCUUUCCGAUAGCACUUUAAUUUGAAGAGUUGGGUGAAGGUUAUGUAUCUUCUUGC